AGAGUUUGAUCCUGGCUCAGGAUUAACGCUGGCGGCGUGCAUAACACAUGCAAGUCGAACGAUGAAACUUAGUAGACUUCUUCGGAAAGACACUAAGCGGAUUAGUGGCGAACGGGUGAGUAACGCGUGAGUAACCUGCCUUACACAAGGGGAUAGCCUUUGGAAACGAAGAAUAAUACCCUAUAAAACCAUAAAAGCACAUGCUAGAAUGGUCAAAGUGAUAGCGGUGUAAGAUGGACUUGCGUCUGAUUAGCUAGUUGGUGAGAUAAAAGCUCACCAAGGCAACGAUCAGUAGCCGGCUUGAGAGAGUGUACGGCCACAUUGGGACUGAGACACGGCCCAGACUCCUACGGGAGGCAGCAGUGGGGAAUUUUGCACAAUGGGGGAAACCCUGAUGCAGCGACGCCGCGUGAUUUAGAAGGCCUUCGGGUUGUAAAAAUCUUUUGUAUAGGAAGAAAAUGACAGUACUAUACGAAUAAGGUCCGGCUAAUUACGUGCCAGCAGCCGCGGUAAUACGUAAGGACCGAGCGUUGUCCGGAAUCAUUGGGCGUAAAGGGUACGUAGGCGGCUAGAAAAGUUAGAAGUCAAAGGCUAUAGCUCAACUAUAGUAAGCUUCUAAAACUAUUUAGCUUGAGAAAUGGAAGGGAAAGUGGAAUUCCUAGUGUAGCGGUGGAAUGCGCAGAUAUUAGGAAGAAUACCGGUGGCGAAGGCGACUUUCUGGCCAUUAUCUGACGCUGAGGUACGAAAGCGUGGGUAGCAAACAGGAUUAGAUACCCUGGUAGUCCACGCCGUAAACGAUGAGUGUUAGGUGUCUGGAGUCAAAUCUGGGUGCCGCAGCAAACGCAUUAAACACUCCGCCUGGGGAGUACGCACGCAAGUGUGAAACUCAAAGGAAUUGACGGGGACCCGCACAAGCAGCGGAGCAUGUGGUUUAA
rnacentral:rRNA from 1 species